rnacentral:rRNA from 1 species
AUUGAACGCUGCGGCAUGCUUUACACAUGCAAGUCGGACGGCAGCACAGAGAAGCUUGCUUCUUGGGUGGCGAGUGGCGAACGGGUGAGUAAUAUAUCGGAACGUACCGAGUAAUGGGGGAUAACUAAUCGAAAGAUUAGCUAAUACCGCAUAUUCUCUGAGGAGGAAAGCAGGGGACCUUCGGGCCUUGCGUUAUUCGAGCGGCCGAUAUCUGAUUAGCUAGUUGGUGGGGUAAAGGCCUACCAAGGCGACGAUCAGUAGCGGGUCUGAGAGGAUGAUCCGCCACACUGGGACUGAGACACGGCCCAGACUCCUACGGGAGGCAGCAGUGGGGAAUUUUGGACAAUGGGCGCAAGCCUGAUCCAGCCAUGUCGCGUGUCUGAAGAAGGCCUUCGGGUUGUAAAGGACUUUUGUCAGGGAAGAAAAGGCUGUUGCUAAUACCGACAGCUGAUGACGGUACCAAGAAUAAGCACGGCUAA